UGUAAAAAGUAGGCGCUUAUUUUUGAAUUUUCCCCAAUUUCAAGGACAAAAUGGAAGAGAGUCCUUCCUCCUCAUCUCGCCAUCUCUCUCACUCCGUCUCGCAUAGCCUUCCUUGCGAUUGCACCCAGCCAGCCUCCUCCUCAUCCUUCCUCCUUCUCCUUCUCGAAUCCUGGUUUACCUCCUGUGCACACCCACCCACCUCCUCUUUCUGGCAUGGUUGCUGUGAGCGAGACUUCGAUUCGCGAGACCGUGGAUAACAAUCUCCAGAGUCCCCUCCGCUGCUUCGUUUUCUGCAACAACAACAAAACCUCCAUAGUCGUAUUCGUUCAUUCCAACAACCCUAUCUCUAUGCUCUUCUAACUUCCAGCUCGCUCUCACCAUAUGGGCUCCACUUCCGCCAUCUCUCUCUGGUCUCAUCCCAAGAUUUUACUGCAGCCCCAAAGGUCCGGGAGUGCUUUUCUGGGCUAUCGUGGGUAGGGCGUGGUUUUACUUGCUAUCCUACCGCGAAGGAGGAGAUGCUUAGCGGUAAAAGCCGCUUCUAGGCCAUCCGGUGGUCGAAGAGUGUACAGAGAAUCGCAGAACGGAGGCUCAUUGUUUGUUGCUCCUGUCAAGCAGCUUGCUUCCUUCGUUGUUCCCGCCGCCUCCUUCUUGGCCGUCACUUUUGGUACUGCUUUUGCUUUCAAUUCCUUUUUGUUUUACCAUCUCUUAGGCAAAAAUUUAACUUGGUUGAAUGUUGGAUAGAAAUCAGGAAACUUUAACAUGGUUAAAAUGUGGUAGAAAUUGGAAAAUUUCAAUUUGGUUGAAUGUUGGAUAGAAAUUAGAAAACUUAACUUGGUUAAAAUGUGGGAUAGAAAUUGGAAAACUUUAAUUUGGUUGAAUGUUGGGUAGAAAUGGUAUUGGAUUUUGCAGUUUAUUCCGGCAUAUCAUACUGGUGUUAUUGUGAUCAUGUAUGAAGAUUUCUUGACUGAUAAAUGUGGAUGGGUUAAUUGGUAUCUUGUGGGAAAAUUUGUGAAGAAAUAUUUUUAUGCAUUGGAACUGUUUGAGAAAAUGUCUGAGAAAGGUAGUGAAGACAAAAUGGAAAUAUCUCACUAGAGAGACCUCUACAGUUUCGUGAGCACUAAUUAUAUCUGGAAUCCCUCUGGUUGCACAAUUAUUGUUGAGCUUUUAGUAAGUAAAUUUCAAGGAAUCUCUGCUACUUUUCACCAAUAUGCUACAAGUAUACCACCAAUUGCCGUUGCUAUUCCCUGGAAGCCAACCCCAAAUUAUAAAUACAAAUGGAAUGAGCUUUUCCCAAUUUAAAAAUGUGGAGUUUGAUCAUGUUGCGAAGGCAAUUGAGAAUGUGAGGGUCAGAUGGAUAGUACUACCAACUGCUUCAAUCUUAUUUCUCUUGGUUGAUGAAAAAUCUAAGAGACAAAGUGAAUGCACUAUGGGCACCUAUUUUGAUUUAGCAUGCUCUCUCGAAGGUCACCUAGAAAGCAAUUUUGGUGCCUUGGCUAUUGAUUUACAUGCUGAUUUCUAUCUUUGGUUCACUCGUAACCUUGAUAUUUGGCCUAUUUGGGAUCCGGGGGAUGCAUCAGAGAAAGCUGUCAAACUGAUAAGCUAUUUUUAGUACAUGGAGGUCAAGCGAAUGGCUGUUUUUGUGAAUCUAUUUUUCCAGAGGGAACUACCAUUAAAAGGUAUUGAUGUCGAACGGAGGGCAAUGAUUGCAGUUGAACUGAAAACAUGCCUUUUCACAAGUUCUCUGAAUUCAAGGAUUGAGGUCGAGCUUUAUGGGUAAGAGAAAUCGUUGAUGGAUAUCCAACUCAGAAAGAGGAAUCCACAUCAGGUGAACAGCAGUUGGAAUACCACAGGCAAGCAUUUUCAUGUACAGCCCAUCAAACCCUCCAAAAUCUUCAAAUAGCAUUUCAAAUUCCUGGUAUGAGAAUUUAAAAAUUAGAAACAUAAUUAAAAUAGCUAUUUGUUGCAUGCAUAAUCUGUUUAUCUUUCUUUAGCUACAUGCUUGCUUGAGAGUUAUCAGAUGAGGGGUUUUGUCUCGUAUUUGCAAUGCGCGUAUGUUGUAAGAUACACUUUUCGGAUUAAUAAUUGGAUUAAGGCAGAUUUCCAAUAUAUAAAUCAUGUGCCAAUUGCCAACUAUGACGACCUCUUAUCCUUUUGAACUUUCUCUCUACCUUAGCUGGCAAGCUAUGAACUUGAUGAUAUUAUCAUGAUGUCAAUCAAUUUAAUCAUUGAAUUACUGCUUUUAUUUCAAAUGGUAGCUACAAGCCAACCUUAUCUUCCAUGUACUUAAGCUUUCAAUUUGCAUUGAGAACUAUUAAAUGUAAUGAACUUUGGUAUUGCCUUUGUUCCCUUAAUCUGCAUAUUAUCUUUUUAUCCUAUGUCUUCUCUGCAACCUAUUGGAGUCUAAGUGAGAAAUGGCUCAAUUAUUACAUUUUAUCAAAUGGCAGCUCAUAUUUAGAACAAAGAGGGUGUGUGGUUUUGGUGUAUUGAUAUUUGUAUUGUAAUUAAACUUGUGGUUGUGUGGUUUUGGUGUAUUGAGAUAUGAGGAGUGAUGAAGGAGCUACACAAACUGUAGCGAGCUGCAUGAAGUAGUGAGAUACAUGAAGGAGCUAUAUGAAGGAGUGAUGAAGGAGCUACAUACAUUGUAUGUACAAAAGGGAAGAUGCUUUUAUCUACACAUCUUCGAAAGAAUUCAAGUUUGUAUUUUUGGAGUUCGAGGACAUGUGUUAAUAUGUUCAAACAUAUAUCUUAGGUUUGUAAUGAAUGUAUUGGCUUUACCACAUUGAUCU